rfam:Cavia porcellus supercont2_109 genomic scaffold, whole genome shotgun sequence.
GGGGAUUUAGCUCAGCGGCAUAAGCGCCUGCCUUGCAAGCAGGCAGUUGUGAGUUCAAUCCUUG